rnacentral:lncRNA from 1 species
CAUCUAAUAACCUAAUCGGAUCAAACUUAAUUGAAUUUAAUUUAGUUAGACUUGAUCCAAUCCUUAUUGCUCAAUCAAGUUGAGUCAAUUAGUAAUCUAAUUACUAAUUAAUCCUCUUAUAAUUUACUAACUCUUAGCAAAUUAUUAAUUGCAACCUUUGCAUAAGGUUAAUCAUCAAUCAUAUUGAUGAUUAUAUCCUUCAACGAUUCAUAAUCGUCAAUCAGCCAUC